GACAGAGGGUGCAAACGUUGCUCGGAAUUACUGGGCGUAAAGGGCUCGUAGGCGGCCAACUAAGUCAGACGUGAAAUCCCUCGGCUUAACCGGGGAACUGCGUCUGAUACUGGAUGGCUUGAGGUUGGGAGAGGGAUGCGGAAUUCCAGGUGUAGCGGUGAAAUGCGUAGAUAUCUGGGAGGAACACCUAUGGGCGAAGGCAGCUCGCUGGGACGGUACUGACGCUGAGGCGCGAAAGCGUGGGGAGCGAACAGG
rnacentral:rRNA from 1 species